rnacentral:rRNA from 1 species
AACGAACGCUGGCGGCGUGCCUCAGACAUGCAAGUCGAACGAUUAAAGCUCCCUUCGGGGAGUGCAUAAAGUGGCGCACGGGUGAGUAACACGUAAGUAAUCUACCUUCGAGUGGGGAAUAACGUUCGGAAACGAACGCUAAUACCGCAUAAUGCAGCGGCAUCGCAAGAUGACAGUUGUUAAAGGAGCAAUCCGCUUGAAGAGGAGCUUGCGGCAGAUUAGGUAGUUGGUAAGGUAAUGGCUUACCAAGCCUGCGAUCUGUAUCCGGUCUAAGAGGACGGUCGGACACACUGACACUGAAUAACGGGUCAGACUCCUACGGGAGGCAGCAGUCGGGAAUUUUGGGCAAUGGGCGAAAGCCUGACCCAGCAACGCCGCGUGAAGGAUGAAGUAUUUCGGUAUGUAAACUUCGAAAGAAUGGGAAGAAUCAAUGACGGUACCAUUUAUAAGCUCCGGCUAACUACGUGCCAGCAGCCGCCGUAACAC